AACAGGAUUAGAUACCCUGGUAGUCCACACAGUAAACGAUGAAUACUCGCUGUUUGCGAUAUACAGUAAGCGGCCAAGCGAAAGCAUUAAGUAUUCCACCUGGGGAGUACGCCGGCAACGGUGAAACUCAAAGGAAUUGACGGGGGCCCGCACAUGCGGAGGAACAUGUGGUUUAAUUCGAUGAUACGCGAGGAACCUUACCCGGGCUUGAAUUGCAACUGAAUGAUGUGGAGACAUGUCAGCCGCAAGGCAGUUGUGAAGGUGCUGCAUGGUUGUCGUCAGCUCGUGCCGUGAGGUGUCGGCUUAAGUGCCAUAACGAGCGCAACCCUUAUCGAUAGUUACCAUCAGGUUAUGCUGGGGACUCUGUCGAGACUGCCGUCGUAAGAUGUGAGGAAGGUGGGGAUGACGUCAAAUCAGCACGGCCCUUACGUCCGGGGCUACACACGUGUUACAAUGGGGGGUACAGAAGGCAGCUACACGGCGACGUGAUGCUAAUCCCUAAAGCCUCUCUCAGUUCGGAUUGGAGUCUGCAACCCGACUCCAUGAAGCUGGAUUCGCUAGUAAUCGCGCAUCAGCCACGGCGCGGUGAAUACGUUCCCGGGCCUUGUACACACCGCCCGUCAAGCCAUGAAAGCCGGGGGUACCUGAAGUACGUAACCGCAAGGAGCGUCCUAGGGUAAAACUGGUAAUUGGGGCUAAGUCGUAACAAGGUAACC
rnacentral:rRNA from 1 species